rnacentral:rRNA from 1 species
GACGAACGCUGGCGGCGUGCUUAACACAUGCAAGUCGAACGAGUGGCGAACGGGUGAGUAACACGUGGGUGAUCUGCCUUGAACUUCGGGAUAAGCUUGGGAAACUGGGUCUAAUACCGGAUAGUGCAAGAUGAGCUCGCGGACUAUCAGCUUGUUGGUGGGGUAAUGGCUACCAAGGCGCGACGGGUAGCCGGCCUGAGAGGGUGUACGGCCACAUUGGGACUGAGAUACGGCACAGACUCCUACGGGAGGCAGCAGUGAGGAAUUUUGCACAAUGGGGGAAACCCUGAGGCAGCGACGCCGCGUGAUUUAUAAGUCCUUCGGGUUGUAAAAAUCUUUUCUAUGGGAAGCAGUACCAUAGGAAUAAGGACCGGCUAAGUACGUGCCAGCAGCCGCGGUAAUAC